rnacentral:rRNA from 1 species
CAGCACCUCAAGUGGUCAGGAUGAUUAUUGGGCCUAAAGCAUCCGUAGCCGGCGCUGUAAGUUUUCGGUUAAAUCUGUACGCUCAACGUACAGGCUGCCGGGAAUACUGCAGGGCUAGGGAGUGGGAGAGGUAGACGGUACUCGGUAGGAAGGGGUAAAAUCCUUUGAUCUAUUGAUGACCACCUGUGGCGAAGGCGGUCUACCAGAACACGUCCGACGGUGAGGGAUGAAAGCUGGGGGAGCAAACCGGAUUAGAUACCCGAGUAGUCC